rnacentral:ncRNA from 1 species
UUGUCGGAGUGCCUAAGUUUUAUUUAGGCUGAGAUCGCGAAAGCGGGAUCCGUGAACCUGAUCAGGUUAAUACCUGCGUAGGGAACAAG